GCGGCUGAGGCAUCCGCAGUUGCCGUGAUUCAUUCUGAUCAAAGUCUUUGUUUCUUUCUCCUAAUUUCUUUUUCUCUUAGCCUGAAACAGUAGUAGAGAACAUAUCUUCUCCACAAGUGUGUGCUAAAUGAACAAGCACCUGAGGUAAAGGGGACGGUGGAGAGCGAAGAGGGACAGCGGUGCCGCGGAGUGACUGGAGGAACGAGGGUACCACAAACAGAAACCGCUGGAGAGGGUAACAGAUCCUAGAAGAGUAUCUUCUCAGAAUCAAGCGGAAGCUGUUAACUUGAGGAAAUGCUGAUGAAUAUCCCCAGCAGAAGAGCCAUCAUGUCGGCACCACCAUCACCAGCAGUCCUUUCUACAGAAUGCAAACUUCACUACUGGACAAGCAAGACUUCCCUGAUGAAAGGAGGACAGCAGCGCUGACAAGACAAGGAGCAGUCCGUUGAAUCCAGCGGUAUUUUCUGCCAAAGUUGCAUGCACUGUCAGAGCAACAGCCUCAGUCAUAAGAUGCAGCACAGAAUCCGUAACGAGCUUCAUCUACUGUUCAACCAAAUUUUUAAUUUGCUUGUGCCUGAGGGGUAAUGUGUCUGAUUCUCUUCUAGGUUUGCUCUCUGUUAUUCUGUCCCUCUGCCUCCCAAUUCUGCCCUUAGCUUUAAAUUUUAAAUUACUUUCCUACAAUGUGUCCAUUAUUUUGUCCUAAAUUUCUAUCUUCUGUGUGCUUCACGUUGUAGUUCUUGUUGCUGUCCACUUUUAAUACCAGUAACUGCUCUGAAUUUUAAAAUAAAACUGUCACUAAUCCUUGUCCAGAGUCAGG